GACGAACGCUGGCGGUGUGCUUAACACAUGCAAGUGGUGCGACGAACCAGAGCUUGCUCUGGGGCAAAGCCGCGAACGGGUGAGUAACACGUGGGUAAUCUACCCCGAUGACCGGGACAACCCGAGGAAACUCGGGCUAAUACCGGAUGUGGUACGGAGACAUAAGUCUCUUUACUAAAGGUAGCUUCGGCUUCCGCAUUGGGAGGGGCCCGCGGCCCAUUAGCUAGUUGGUUGGGGUCAAGGCCUACCAAGGCAACGAUGGGUAGCUGGUCUGAGAGGACGAUCAGCCACACUGGGACUGAGACACGGCCCAGACUCCUACGGGAGGCAGCAGUGGGGAAUCUUGCGCAAUGCGCGAAAGCGUGACGCAGCAACACCGCGUGAGGGAAGACGGCCUUAGGGUUGUAAACCUCUUUCAGGUGGGACGAAGGUGAUGCGGUGAAUAGCCGAUGUCAUUGACGGUACCGUCAGAAGAAGCUCCGGCUAACUACGUGCCAGCAGCCGCGGUAAU
rnacentral:rRNA from 1 species